AUUUAUAAUGAGACUGUUAUGUUCCCUAUAUUUUAAUACUGGCUGUAAUCCUUUUCUUGAGAUCCGGUAUCUAUUGUGAAUCAAGCGCUUCAUUAGCAAAUUAAUUCUCGGUCUGUAAAAAACUAUCGGAAUCAAGUAAGAAGUAAUUGCUGCCGCUUCAUCAAUCCCGGCUCUCUUCCAAAACCUGGGCGGUGACAGAGGCUGCCGCGGAGCAAACUGAGGUGGUGGGUGGCAGCGGAAAUUGACACCCACAAUGCAGGCACAAAAGAGGAGGCGACCGAGACGAGCAGUCGAGCGAGCUCCCAGUAGUACCUGCGCUGUUCGCCAUGAAAACGGAGAGCUCUCUGCCUGCCUUUCCCGCGCGCGCACCACGCGGUUGCCGAGUUCCAGGCACUUUCUGGUGCAUCCGUCCCUGCCACGACUUCCCAGGGACCUCCACGCAUCUCCCGUGGCGCCCCAUCGGAUCCCCACUCCCCGUGAUUCGCCUCGGAAGCCCCGGCUCCUGUGUUGAGGGCUUAGACCCCUGCUAUUUUAAGAGGCACUGGGGGCUAAUUGGAGGAAAUGGGUCAUCUGGGCCAUGUCCUUGGGUGCCUUGCACCCUUCCUAUCUCUGCUUCUUAGCUGCCAUGAGGAUCUCAUGGUUUGGCUCAGGGCUGGCGUCAGACCACAAUCCUACCUCUGCUUUUACACACAGGCAUGACCAUCACCCCUCUGGCUUGUAAGUUGACAUGAGAUCUCAUUAACUUUUUGAAGGCUUAGAACGAAAGCCUUCUCAAUCUCCAUUUCCUGUAGGUAGCUAGGAUUAUAGACAUAUGCCAGGAGUAAAAAAAAAAAAUUAUUGAAGUCCUUUUGGUAUCUCUAAUAUCUAGCAUGUUAUGUGGCACAUUAUCAUUGAUCAUAAUAGCUUAAUCCCUUGUAUUUCUGUUUUUCAUACUUUAAAAGCAGCUUGAUGUUUCUUUUCUGUUACCUGGAAUACUAUUUUUUUUCCAAAUCAUCAGAGAAGUAAAAACAUAUACAAAUUUCUCUUAUUGAACCCUCACUACUACUUUUUUUU